AGUGAGCGCUGGCGGUAGGCCUAACACAUGCAAGUCGAACGGCAGCACAGUAAGAGCUUGCUCUUACGGGUUGCGAGUGGCGGACGGGUGAGGUAUAUAUCCGAAUCUACUUUUUCGUGGGGGUUAACGUAGGGAAACUUGCGCUAAUACCGCAUACGACCUACGGGUGAAAGCAGGGGAUCUUCGGACCUUGCGCGAUUGAACGAGCCGAUGUCGGAUUAGCUAGUGGGCGGGGUAAAGGCCCACCAAGGCGACGAUCCGUAGCUGGUCUGAGAGGCUGAUCAGCCACACUGGAGCUUAAACACGGUCCAGGCUCCUACGGGAGGCAGCAGUGUGGAAUAUUAGACAAUAGGCGGAAGCCUGAUCCAGCCAUACCGCGUGUGUGAAGAAGGCCUUCGGGUUGUAAUGACCUUUUGUGGGGAGAGAAAAGCAGCAGGUUAAUACCCCGCUGUUCUGACGGUACCCAGAAAAUAAGCACCGGCUAACUUCGUG
rnacentral:rRNA from 1 species